CCUACGGGUGGCAGCAGUGAGGAAUAUUGGUCAAUGGGCGUGAGCCUGAACCAGCCAAGUAGCGUGAAGGAUGACUGCUCUAUGGGUUGUAAACUUCUUUUAUAAAGGAAUAAAGUGCGGCACGUGUGCCUUUUUGUAUGUACUUUAUGAAUAAGGAUCGGCUAACUCCGUGCCAGCAGCCGCGGUAAUACGGAGGAUCCGAGCGUUAUCCGGAUUUAUUGGGUUUAAAGGGAGCGUAGAUGGGUUGUUAAGUCAGUUGUGAAAGUUUGCGGCUCAACCGUAAAAUUGCAGUUGAUGCUGGCAGGCUUGAGUACAGUUGAGGUAGGCGGAAUUCGUGGUGUAGCGGUGAAAUGCUUAGAUAUCACGCAGAACUCCGAUUGCGAAGGCAGCCUGCUAAGCUGCGACUGACAUUGAUGCUCGAAAGUGUGGGUAUCAAACAGGAUUAGAUACCCUUGUAGUC
rnacentral:rRNA from 1 species